UAUUGAGACAGUUUCUCUUUGAACGUGGAACUCAUCAAUUUGGGUAGGCUGUAAUGCUAAGGAGCUCUAUAAACUCUCUUGUCUCUGUGUCCCCAAGGCUGAGAUGACAAAUCUAUGCCAACAUGCUCUGCCUUUAUGUGGAUAUUGGGGAUCUGAACCUACAUACAACCACAUGCUUCCAAAGCCACAACUCUCCAGCCUUUGCUACUCUCCAAUAAUGCUGCUUGUUCCACAUAUAAAGCAUCCUUUGUGGAUCUCGGGAAUAACUGUCCACCCACAGGUUAUACACAGAGGUAGCAGAGUGGCUUUCUCCCGACACGGUGCAUUUGGCGAGAGGGACCUGUGUUCUCCUGGACUCACACUGGGGCAUUUAACUCCAGAGACAACAUCCCCAUCCAGGGUCUUAUCAAUGAUGAGUGAUGUAACAGGACAAUGUAGCUACCAGGAAAGUUAUCAACUGGACUGGGGUAGGAGUGAGUGUUUGUGUCCACGUCCUCUCUCCAUGCUUGGGAUUCCAGCUGGCUCAGACCCAUGCAGGCCCUGAUUCCUUGAGUCUUGAAGGAAGGAUACAAUCCCAGCUAACACUAGAUGGGCUUGGAUGGUAAUAGGAUCUCCUCUGUAUUGAGCAUUUGAAAGACACAGCAUUUCCACAUGGUACACAUUAUAUCCUUUAUUUAAAAAUGAAAAGACAUGGGCUUAGGUUUUUAUUUAGAUUACUUAUUAAUAAAUGGAAUACAAUUAAAUA
rnacentral:sRNA from 1 species